GACGAACGCUGGCGGCGUGGAUUAGGCAUGCAAGUCGAACGGUAUCAUCCUUUCGGGGGUGAGAGAGUGGCGAACUGGUGAGUAACACGUAGGUUAUCUACCCUCAAGACGGGGACAACCCAGGGAAACUUGGGCUAAUACCGGAUGUGAGCAACUUUUAGUUGUUUGAAAGGUGGCGUAAGCUGUCGCUUGGGGAUGAGCCUGCGUCCUAUUAGUUAGUUGGUGAGGUAACGGCUCACCUAGGCAAUGAUAGGUAGGCGGCCUUAACGAGUGGUCGCCCACACUGGGAUUGAGAUACGGCCCAGACUCCUACGGGAGGCAGCAGUCGAGAAUAGUCUACAAUGGUCGGAAGACUGAUAGUGCGACGCCGCGUGAACGAUGAAUCCCUUCGGGGUGUAAAGUUCUUUUAUAUGUGAGCAGUGCUUCUUAUAUUAACAGUAUGGGGAGAGAGAUAUUAGCAUAUGAAUAAGCAACGGCUAACUCCGUGCCAGCAGCCGCGGUAA
rnacentral:rRNA from 1 species